CUAUUUGCUUUAUGUAUACUAUAAAUUUAUCUCCUAUUAGCCAAGAACUGUAAUGAGCAUACAUUUGUAUUUAAUUACAGGUAAUAAAAAAUAAUCCAAAAAUAAGCAUGAUUUUUUUUAAAAAAAAAAAAAUGCAAUUUACAUCGGUUCUCUGGAGAACCGAUGUAAAUCAAUUGCAACUUUAAUGUUAAUAACUUGUUAGAAAUUUUAAAAUUCCUUACCCAGACACAAACUUACAUAUUUUGAAGAGUGCGCGAGCGUUUUAGUUUUUUUACUACACAAUUUUGAGUUGUUUUCCGUAAGGUAAAAAGUAAGAAUAAAAAUGUAAAAUUAUUGAAUAUAAGAGAAGGGUAAUUAUGACUUAUGAGCCAUUUAGAAGGCCGAGUCUACUACACUAGUAACAGCACAGACGACGUCGUAUCACAAAACCGAAAGAAGUUCAUAUACCCGACUCGAGGUGCUCGUGUAACGGAUCGUUACUUGCGAAUAUUGAAGAAUCUCCAUCAUCGCAAGAGCACAGAGGCUUCUUCUUGUUCAUCACUCAAAAACUAAAGAGAAAUGGCGGCAACAGACUCAACAUCUUUCCAAUGACUAUUUCAGAGGGCAGCUUCGGCUCAGUUUAGGAGGCCUCUCCUUCAUUUAGUUUCCACUCAAGAAGGAAGGCAGAGGUACCUGAGCCAGUGUGUUCCCCUCCACAAAGCAGCACUGAAGGGUGACUGGAAAGAAGCAAAGAAAAUACUAGAUCAAGACACCACGCUUCUCAACUCUGCCAUAUCAAAGGGUUGGGCAACAGUGCUCCAUGUUGUAGUGGGAGCAAACCAUGAACACUUUGUGGAGGAACUCGUCAAACUCAUGCCACCCCAAGAUUUGGAGCUGCAAGAUGACAAAGGGAACACUGCUUUCUGCUUUGCUGCAGCAGUUGGUAACGUCCACAUUGCUGAGAUAAUGCGCAAAAAAAAUCAACUGUUGCCAACGUUGAGGGGUGGAGAAGGUGUCACUCCUCUUCACUUGGCUGUGUUACAAGGAAGAAGUGAAAUGCCAUGCUAUCUGUUUGAUAAGUCUAAGGAAUUUCUCUAUGAAGAGGAUUGGAUUACACUGUUCCUCAUUUCUAUAAACACUGGACUCUAUGGUAAGCAUGUUGUAUACCUAUCGUCUUAUAUAUUCUCACAAUCAAGAAGACUGAAUUGCUUACCAUAGAGUCCAAUGUUUAUAGAAAUGAGGAACAGUGUAAUCCAAUCCUCUUCAUAGAGAAAUUCCUUAGACUUAUCAAACAGAUAGCAUGCCAUUUCACUUCUUCCUUGUAACACAGCCAGGUGAAGAGGAGUGACACCUCCUCCACCCCUUAACGUUGGCAACAGUUGAUUUUUUCUGCGCAUUAUCUCAGCAAUGUGGACGUUACCAACUGCUGCAGCAAAGCAGAAAGCAGUGUUCCUUUUGUCAUCUUGCAGCUCCAAAUCUUGGUGGCAUGAGUUUGACGAGUUCCUCCACAAAGUG